ACGUCAUGAUGGAGAAUCACCAGUCCCUCACAUCACCGGAUGGAUCCAGUCAGAGAAAUCCACCAGAGAGAUGUCCCAGUCCUCUGUAUUCCCAGGACUGUCCACAGGAAAAGCAGAAUGUCCCACUGGAUCAUCAAAAUCAGGUCACCACAAAGGACAAGAGCAAGUGGAUAUAAGGUUCAGUUUCCAGAAGCAAUGACAGGCUUUUUACCAUACAAUAAUGUAAGAACUGGAGGUGAUGAGCACAGCGUCCUCUCCAGGAUAGGAUCAGGUCAUUUCAUGCAGAAAAAUGUCACAUUUCAUAU